rnacentral:rRNA from 1 species
GAUGAACGCUGGCGGCGUGCCUAAUACAUGCAAGUCGAGCGAAUGGAUUAAGGGCUUGCUCUUAUGAAGUUAGCGGCGGACGGGUGAGUAACACGUGGGUAACCUGCCCAUAAGACUGGGAUAACUCCGGGAAACCGGGGCUAAUACCGGAUAACAUUUUGAACCGCAUGGUUCGAAAUUGAAUGGCGGCUUCGGCUGUCACUUAUGGCUGGACCCGCGUCGCAUUAGCUAGUUGGAGAGGUAACGGCUCACCAAGGCAACGAUGCGUAGCCGACCUGAGAGGGUGAUCGGCCACACUGGGACUGAGACACGGCCCAGACUCCUACGGGAGGCAGCAGUAGGGAAUCUUCCGCAAUGGACGAAAGUCUGACGGAGCAACGCCGCGUGAGUGAUGAAGGCUUUCGGGUCGUAAAACUCUGUUGUUAGGGAAGAACAAGUGCUAGUUGAAUAAGCUGGCACCUUGACGGUACCUAACCAGAAAGCCACGGCUAACUACGUGCCAGCAGCCGCGGUAA